AGACAGAGGUGGCAAGCGUUGUUCGGAUUUACUGGGCUUAAAGGGCGUGUAGGCGUCCUGGUAAGUCAGGUGUGGAAGCCUUGGGCUCAACCCAAGAAUUGCAUUUGAUACUGACGGGAUUGAGUCGUGCAUGGGAGGGCGGAAUUCCUGGUGUAGGGGUGAAAUGCGUAGAUAUCAGGAGGAAGGCCGGUGGCGAAGGUGGCCCUCUGGGCAAUGACUGACGCUGAGGCGCGAAAGCGUGGGGAGCAAACAGGAUUAGAAACCCUAGUAGUCC
rnacentral:rRNA from 1 species